rnacentral:misc_RNA from 1 species
AGACAUUCUGAUUUGGAAUAUUGGAUGAAAGCCCAGGAUGACUUCUUAUUUAUUUGAUAAGUUGAAAAAAACAAGAUAACUAUUCUUCUCAGGGAGUAUUCAAACUGUCUGAAAAUCUAUUUGUCCAAAUGAUUGAAGGUGUUGGGAUAAAAAUGGAUGUAUCUGAGGGAUGUCGUUUGAGACUGAGAGUCCACCUUGCCAGACAUGAUUUACUGUGGUUUCAUUGCCCAGUGGUCCUAUAAUCGCAAAGAUAAUCAUCUCGUUGUUCAAGUAUUCUGCAGAUAUAUUUGAAACUUGAAAGCUGAGAUUAGCUCUCUGCAUUGAUGGACUAUAACUUGUUAUUUGUGUUGUGUAAGCUAUCAUGCUGUCAGUUGAGUUAUGGAAAGCAACUAAUGCUUGCGAUCCAACCAUGCCUUGUCUCGUAGGGUUGAUAGCCCAUGCUACCCACCCCUUAGAAUCUUGUUUAGCUCUGUAUGCCAUUGAAACUUUUGUGCUUGAUGAAUUGUAGGUCCAGUGCAGGUUUGCUUCUAAAACAGGGAGCACUUUGCAAGUGGUGAAAGUUCUAUUAGCUGGGAAAGUGUAGUUUGAGCAGUUUUGAGCUGAGUUAACAAGAAAAAUCGAAGCAAGAAUGAAGAACAGCAGUUUUGAUGUUGAGCUUGACGCCAUGGGAACAAAUAUAUUCCUCUUUUUCCUGUGCCAAAAGUGAAACGAAAGGAUAAAAACACCGCAAAAGACUAUUGCGCGACUGUGGAGCUGUUCAACACCAAGCUGAGAAUGUAGAUUGUUACCUUUUUUUGCAAGUUGAGGAAUAAGAAUGUUGGUAGUUUAUAUUUUAUAAGAAAGGG